GUACUAGAAGCCCAUAACAAAGCCGAAAAAAUGAAUGGUAAGGUAGAAUUUUUAGAAUUUGGAAAAUUUAAAGUACAAAGUGUUUCGGUAAGUGGUAAGUUCUAUGUUGUGUCUUGUCAUGAACUAUGUGAUGAGCAAUGUCGCACUGGAUACUGUAACAUCUGUAAAAUAUGUUUUCAUAAAAACAGAUGUGAGUGUCCAGAAAAUUCAAACCAGUACUUUGUAAACAUAUACAUGCUGUAGCCAUUUUUAAGCAGAGAAGCGAGUUUGUUGUAGGUUCCCCAACUGUGAGUGAAGAGGAAGAGGAUAAUGUUUUGUUUGUUGAUCAACCCACAACUAGCCAAAUCAAUUAUCAGGAGGAUGUAAACCAUUUUAUUCAGUAGAGUUCAAAAAUGAAAGUCGAUAGUUCUGCAAUGGACUUUGAAGAAAAUCGAGAAAUUGCAUUGCAAGAAAUUUGUAGCUAUAGCAGAAGUUUAGAUAAAAAUGCAUUUGCCAGAUUUAUGGCUGUAAUCAACAAAUUUAAAAAUAAAGAGGUGGAGGAAGAAAAUUCUCAGGGCAUUGAAAAGAAAAGAAAAAUUGAAAAACAAAUGUAAUAUCCAAAUAAAAAAUAAGCUAGAUUUCUUUGUGUAUUUAAUGGCUAGAUAAUAUUUGAAUUGUAGCUAUUUUUUAUGUUUGUAUAGCUGUGAAGUUAACAAAAAUAGGAUGUGGUAUUUUAUAUGGUAUUUUGUGUUAUAAUCGGUAUAAUAUAACUAAGUAUAUUUUUUGUAAGGUUUUGGUGCAGGUUUCAAAUUGUAAAAACAAAUUUUAAGACGUCAUAGGUGUUGGUUUCUGUAUAACUAUUUUUAUAUCUUUUAUUUUAAGACUAAAAUGUUAGCUUAUUUUGUAUGUUAAUAUUCAACUAAUCAUUUUCUAUUACAUUUUGUUUGCUAUGUUUUUAAUAUUUUUUAGGGUGCAGAAAAGCUAAUUAAAUUAACUUGAAAUUGACAUGGAACGCGGGGGAAGAUUCUCUGUGAGUAUAUAUUUAUUAAUUAAAAUGUAUACAGAGCAGUAAUUUUUUUUCAUGUUACUAUUGAACGGAAGUUUGAAUGGUUUGGGCUGUAUAUACAUGAUCAGCAGAGAUGACAAAUAAGCUACAGAAGUGCGAGUCUACAUACUAUAUACCAGAUUGAUACAUUUAGCCUCCUUGCAUUUAAUUUUGAGGUUGUUGAUAUUAAAAAUACCAUAAAUUAUUAUAUUUAAAUAA